rnacentral:rRNA from 1 species
AGGCUUUGAUCGUGGCUCAGGAUGAACGCUGGCGGCGUGCCUAACACAUGCAAGUCGAACGUGAAGCUACUUCGGUAGUGGAAAGUGGCGCACGGGUGAGUAACACGUAGCUUACCUGCCUCGAAGACCGGGAUAACGCCCCGAAAGGUGUGCUAAUACCGGAUAAGCUCCCGCACUAUAGAGGUGUGAGAGAAAAGUUCAGGCGCUUCGAGAUGGGGCUGCGGCCCAUCAGCUAGUUGGUGGUGUAAGAGACUACCAAGGCGACGACGGGUAGGGGGCCUGAGAGGGUGAACCCCCACACUGGGACUGAGACACGGCCCAGACUCCUACGGGAGGCAGCAGUGAGGAAUAUGCUCAAUGGACGCAAGUCUGAAGCAGCGACGCCGCGUGGGCGAUGAAGGUUUUCGGAUCGUAAAGCCCUUUUCUGCGUGACGUAGGAAGGACGGUAGCGUCAGGUAAUAAGGUUCGGCU